GGGGCGUUAGCUCAAUUGGUAGAGCGCAUCAAUGGCAUUGAUGAGGCAACCGGUUCGAAUCCGGUACGCUCCA
rnacentral:tRNA from 1 species